rnacentral:tRNA from 1 species
AGCUUUGUAGUUUUUAAAAAAUAUUUAUUUGUGGUAUAAAAGAUAUAAUGGCUAU